rnacentral:rRNA from 1 species
AUUGAACGCUGGCGGCAGGCCUAACACAUGCAAGUCGAGCGGAUGAAGGGAGCUUGCUCCUGGAUUCAGCGGCGGACGGGUGAGUAAUGCCUAGGAAUCUGCCUGGUAGUGGGGGAUAACGUCCGGAAACGGGCGCUAAUACCGCAUACGUCCUGAGGGUGCAAGUGGGGGAUCUUCGGACCUCACGCUCUCAGAUGAGCCUAGGUCGGAUUAGCUAGUUGGUGGGGUAAAGGCCUACCAAGGCGACGAUCCGUAACUGGACUGAGUGGAUGAUCAGUCACACUGGAAUUGGGACACGGUCCAGACUCCUAAGGGACGCAGCAGUCGGGAAUAUUGGACAGUGGGCGAAAGCCUUAUCCAGCCAUGGCGCGUGUGUGAAGAAGGUCUUCGGAUUGUAAAGCACUUUAAGUUGGGAGGAAGGGCAGUAAGUUAAUACCUUGCUGGUUUGACGUUAACAACAGAAUAAGCACCGGCUAACUUCGUG